UCUGAAACCUAAAGACAACAGAAAAUAAAAGGAACAAGCAAAAAUAUGGUGUUGAGUAACUGGGCCCCGAUGACCUGGAGUUCUGGGAACUGCUGCUCUUGGACCAAGGCAAAGGGCAGAGGAAAAGCAGCCGGUGAAAAUAGUCUUCAUCCACCUUCGUCACCAGCUCUGGCACUGAGUGGCUGCUGGCUCCUCCCCAAAGUCACAGUGCCCAGGACAGGGAGACGUCUUGAAUCCAUUCAGGACAUGGAGGCAGCCAGCACAGCACAGCUAAAGACCCUCAGGAAAGAGGACUCCAGAGCUGCGGCAGGAAGUGGCCCCAGCCAGAGGGAAUGCCGUGUCUGAGCCACUUCUGGGCCUUGUGAUCUCCAUCCGGCCCAGCCCACGACAGUGCUGCAGGUCUGGGGGACUUUGGCCAGCCGUGGGGACGGCAGACUCUGGUCCCCGGGACACCCCAGCCACCAGGCGCGCACCAUGCCCUCCCAGUGUAACGGCUGUGCUGCUGACCCAGGACACGGCCGGCAACUCUGGCUCUCGGGGCCUGGCUUUGGUCCUCACUCAAGGUGAAGUUUCAAAGUGAAUGACACAUGUUCUUCUCCUGCGACCUGCCGAGGGUCUGGAAGGGUUUCAGAGAUUCACUCUGAACCCAGGACCACCAAAAAGGUCCAAACGGGCUAUUUCCACAAUCGUUUCAUCAAAGCUAAGAAGAAAACAAUCUCCUCCCGCCCCAGGGCUGCUGCUUGCCCCUUCGAAAUUCUCACACAAAAUGUGAAGCUGGCCUUUGGACUGAGGAGUUAAACAUGGUGGGGACCAGAAAUGAACUUGGCUUUGAGCCCAGCUCUCACUGGGAGCCUCGUGGAAUUUGACCUGAGCUUCUCCACUGUACAGAGAGGAUUGUGACGAAACGGGGACCUCACGGCCAGGGAGAGGCUGGAGAAAGACAAUACCAUGUAGAAAGUCUGGACCCAAACUUGCAAUUGUCCUGCCUCAGCCUCUCAGAAGGAACACAGACAUGGGCUUUAUUCGGGCCUCAUUUUCUGCCACAACUUCUUUCCUCCGUGUAUUCACGCGAUUUAUCUAAAUGGCCUUAAUUCGUGGGUGCCCAACUGCCACGGGCUGCAUUUCAGGCCCCACCUCCUAAUUCCUGUGCCGAAGCAAUGGUCAGUGUGCUGGUGCUGGGAUGCAGGCCCUUGGGAGGUGACAAGGUCCUAAGGGUGGGACCAUAUACAGAGUGAGACGAGCCAGGCUGUAAGCCCGGGGCUCUAGGAGGCUGAGGCAGGAGGAUUCAGAAGUUCCAGCCCAGCCCAGCCACCUUAGCAAGGCCUGUCACAAAAGAAAAAGUAACAAAAGGGCUUGGGAUGUGGCUCAGUGCAGAGGCCCUCGUUCGAUCCCCAACUGCAAGCACAGAGGGAUACGCAACACAGCUGACCUGCUUUCAUCCACUCAGGCAGGGCUGCAACCCGAGGUGGAGCCCUCACCCAGGCCCGAGCACACUGAACCCUCAAGAGAAAGGAAGCACUUUGGUUCAGGACACGCCAGCCCCAGGGACCAAGACAAAAACCCUGCUGCAUUUGUUUGUUUGGGUUUUGUUUUGUUUUGUUUGAGACAGGGUCUCACUGUGUAGUCGAGG